AAGUCCCGCAACGAGCGCAACCCUUAAGCUUAGUUGCCAUCAUUAAGUUGGGCACUCUAAGUUGACUGCCGGUGACAAACCGGAGGAAGGUGGGGAUGACGUCAAAUCAUCAUGCCCCUUAUGAUUUGGGCUACACACGUGCUACAAUGGACAAUACAAAGGGCAGCGAAACCGCGAGGUCAAGCAAAUCCCAUAAAGUUGUUCUCAGUUCGGAUUGUAGUCUGCAACUCGACUAUAUGAAGCUGGAAUCGCUAGUAAUCGUAGAUCAGCAUGCUACGGUGAAUACGUUCCCGGGUCUUGUACACACCGCCCGUCACACCACGAGAGUUUGUAACACCCGAAGCCGGUGGAGUAACCAUUUGGAGCUAGCCGUCGAAGGUGGGACAAAUGAUUGGGGUGAAGUCGUAACAAGGUAGCCGUAUCGGAAGGUGCGGCUGGAUCACCUCCUUUCUAAGGA
rnacentral:rRNA from 1 species